rnacentral:rRNA from 1 species
UACGUAGGUGGCAAGCGUUGUCCGGAUUUACUGGGCGUAAAGCGCGCGCAGGCGGUUCUGUACGGCCGGCGUGAAAGCUCCCGGCUCAACUGGGAGAGGGCGUUGGAGACGGCCGGACUGGAGGGCGGUAGAGGUCGGUGGAAUUCCCGGUGUAGUGGUGAAAUGCGUAGAGAUCGGGAGGAACACCUGUGGCGAAGGCGGCCGACUGGGCCGACACUGACGCUGAGGCGCGAAAGCGUGGGGAGCGAACAGG